rnacentral:rRNA from 1 species
UACGAGGGGUGCGAGCGUUGCUCGGAAUUAUUGGGCGUAAAGGGUAGGUAGGUGGUUUCGUUUGUCCGGGGUGAAAGCCUUGGGCUUAACUCAAGAAGUGCCCCGGAAACGGCGAAACUAGAGUACUGGAGAGGGUCGUGGAAUUCCCGGUGUAGCGGUGAAAUGCGUAGAGAUCGGGAGGAACACCAGAGGCGAAGGCGGCGACCUGGACAGUGACUGACACUCAACUACGAAAGCGUGGGGAGCAAACAGG